GGCAGUGUAGUGCAGUGGUUUAGCAUCUCCCUUUCCCAUACAACAGCUCUUCGGAUGCUGUCCUUGGAAGGAAGGGAAGACCUGGGCUCGAAUCCCAGCUCUGCCA